CUGGAUGUGCUUUUGCAUACUGUGCAGAUGUUAGCAGCGUUAACACCAGCUCUACAGCCGUCACACCAGCGACCCUCUCUACAGCUACUCUGCCUGACCCCUGCUACAACUACACUGUGCUGGACAAUCCAUGGAGAGCCAACAGCAGUCAGCCAUCAAACUCC